rnacentral:rRNA from 1 species
UAGGGAAUCUUCCGCAAUGGACGCAAGUCUGACGGAGCAACGCCGCGCGAGUGAAGAAGGAUUUCGGUUCGUAAAACUCUGUUGUUAGAGAAGAACAGCGCAUAGAGUAACUGUUAUGCGUGUGACGGUAUCUAACCAGAAAGCCACGGCUAACUACGUGCCAGCAGCCGCGGUAAUACGUAGGUGGCAAGCGUUGUCCGGAUUUAUUGGGCGUAAAGCGAGCGCAGGCGGUCAAUUAAGUCUGAUGUGAAAGCCCCCGGAUCAACCGGGGAGGGUCAUUGGAAACUGGUUGGCUUGAGUGCAGAAGAGGAGAGUGGAAUUCCAUGUGUAGCGGUGAAAUGCGUAGAUAUAUGGAGGAACACCAGUGGCGAAGGCGACUCUCUGGUCUGUAACUGACGCUGAGGCUCGAGAGCGUGGGUAGCAAACAGG